UAACCGGUAUAAAAGUGAACUAUAACAACCGCCACCCCCUACCCGUUCUUUCUCCUAAUCAUUUGGAAAAAAACCCAGGAUUUGCAGAUGAGCAUGUUCCGUGAAUGGUUGAAAAGAUGCAAGGCAUUUAUUGCUCUCCCUCUGUCUCACCAAACUCCACCCAAACGUAACCUAGAUAGGUUGAGGAGGAAAUUGGAAGCAUCCAAGGCUCCAAAUUCAAUCUUGUUCACAGCUACAUCUAAAAAAGGAUUGGCGUAAGUGUUACGACGAGUUCGUUGUUGGAUUAUAUUGACAACUUGAGGUACAAAUAGACAGAUUAAUAGACCUCCCCAGUAAAUAGGACCAGAGAUCAGCUGAUUGGUGAGCUCCCUUGUCCGGAGUUGCCAGGUCCAUUUGGAGUCUUUCUUUUAUGUUUAUAGACUUGAUAGGUAGGCCGAGGCCCUAUCCCGACCGUGAUACAGUUAUGCUUUCCUUAGAGGCUUGUAGACGAGUCAUGUCUAUACUAAGUGUCGUAGCCUUGCCGGGCCUUGUAUAUGUCUAUUUUGAUACUGUUGGUUGAGUACAUUUAUAGCAGUCUCGUCGGCUUGCUCAGUGAUAUAUAUGUUUUGGGUGUGUGAGCCCCGUUCAGAUGAGAUAGCUAGUCUUUAUAUACAUUCAGAGUGUGGCCUCGUCGGCUUGUUGGUAUUGUCUGUUUGUAGGUAGGCUCAAUCGGCCUUGAGGGUUACCCCUCCAGAAUUACAGAUUCAGAAUGGUUCGCUUCAGCCAAGUGUGGGAUCGGGUGCCAGCCAUGCCCCUCCAGAUUUGGGGCAUGACAUUUAGAUAGGCUAAAUGGCUCCCUAGCACGCACGCGUGCUCACACAUACGCUUGUGAAACUUCUGGUAUUUGAAUACUUUUUGGAUUCUUUUUAACUAUCAGUGGUGUUGUUGGGUGAGUUUUGGUCAUCAAGUAAUUAAGCAGUGAUAUGUGUGGACAAUGAAAUUUUAUCGAAAUUAAGUUCAGAAGAAA